UACGAAGGGGGGCUAGCGUUGCUCGGAAUCACUGGGCGUAAAGCGCACGUAGGCGGCUUGUUAAGUCAGGGGUGAAAUCCUGGAGCUCAACUCCAGAACUGCCUUUGAUACUGGCAAGCUUGGAGUCCGGGAGAGGUGAGUGGAACUGCGAGUGUAGAGGUGAAAUUCGUAGAUAUUCGCAAGAACACCAGUGGCGAAGGCGGCUCACUGGCCCGGUACUGACGCUGAGGUGCGAAAGCGUGGGGAGCAAACAGG
rnacentral:rRNA from 1 species